AUGAAGGAAAAAGUAUUACAUUCAUAUGAAAUCAGAGAAAAUUGAAGGGUUUCACUAAUCUGCAAUUAAUAUUCUCUCUAAUGAAGUAGUAUGCCGCACAGUUUACUUCAUUAUUGAAGCCAGGCAUCUCGCGGAUCUCACAUGCACGAACCAUGCCGAUUGAUCUCAAGCUUUCGCGAUCGAACCGCGUCUACUGCCUUGGUGAAUCAGUCGAAGGGAAGAUUAUAACAACCCUCACGUCAUCAGUUUCUUAUCAGAAAAUUAUCAUUUCCAUAUCCGGAACUGUCAACUUACAGGUUCGAGGAGGAGUGACUGGAGUCAUCGAAUCCUUGUACAGCGUGGUGAAGCCCAUAUGCAUCAUGAAGAAGAGUAUAGAGCUUGCAACAUCAGCUGGAAAAUUAGGUCCUGGUAGAACAGAGAUAAAUUUUUCAUUUUCUUUGUGCUCGGAAGAGAAAAGUGGUCAUGACAUGUUUUAUGAGACAUACCAUGGUGGAAAUAUCAGUAUCCAGUAUCUCAUCAGUGCUGACGUGACUAGAGGCUAUCUACAUAAGCCCCUCUCUGCUACCUUGGAGCUUAUUGUUGAACAAGACAAAGCCAGUCUCACCCAUGUUCCUGUUCAACCUGAGCUCACGAGCUUCCUCAUCACUCAAGACACUCAGAAACAUCAAUUACUCUCUGAAUUGUCAUCAGGUCAAUUUCGAGUUACAGGAAACAUAUCUACUGACUGUUCUUUAUCAGAACCUAUAAAUGGAGAACUGAUUGUUGAAGCAUCUGCUGUUCCUAUACGCUCCAUUGACAUACUACUUCUUCGUGUUGAAUCAAUUCUUACUGGAGAGAGAAUCAUAUCCGAUACUUCAGUCAUUCAAACCACACAGAUAGCUGAUGGAGAUGUCUGCCGAUCCAUAACUUUGCCUAUCUAUGUGAUACUUCCUCGAUUGUUGGUGUGCCCCACUGUGCUGAGUGGGCCGUUCUCCAUUGAAUUUCAGGUUUCUAUUGUAAUUAGUUUUCAGUCCGAGCUAUCCAAGUUAUAUUCAAAAUUUGAUCUCCAAACUCCAAGACAAUGGUUGGCUUCAUUGACAUUGCCACUAAGAGUUUUCAGAUCAACUUGAGCUAUUUACAGUGCUACCACUUUAUAAACUGAAACACUGGUUCUCGAAAUUGAUUUCUUUUUUUACUGAAAUUGCAUGGUAAAAAAUGAGUUUAAGGGCCCAUUUGGCUCGGAGUUUUUGCUGCGGCUCGUCUCCCUCCCGCGAAUCAAUCCAUCCCGUUUGAGGCGGAGUUUUUGCCGCGGCUCCGCUCAGUUAGGCAAAACGAAAACGCAGCUUGCUCUAUUUGCGAUUGUUUGGAGAAGGGGAGAUGGAAGAGGUUUACCUUUCUCGAUGGUUGCGGUUAUGUGUGAAGUGCAAGAUGAGGAAAAUGGAAGUUUCAAAUCUCUGUAUAUUGCCAUUCUGUCCUUGCCUUCCCAGUAUCCAUAUCACUGCACUUAUCGUGGUUGCUCUAUUUUGGUUCUUACAGGUCCCCUCUAAUCCAUAUCACUGCACUUAUCGUGGUUGCUCUAAUCAUCUAUAAGGUUACUCCACCUUUUACUUUUACCUCUUGCUUCCUGCAUUUGUUUUAUACUGCUUCGGAAUGCUCUGUAAUUUAGCUGUUUGUUGAAUUGUAGAGAAUUGCUAUUUCAGAUUUUGUUUCAGGUUUUGCACAGAAUCUCUUCUUCAUCUUCUCCGUCCCUUAAUUUGACUUGUCGG